AUGCCUUCAAGUGGUGCUUCGGGGAGUAUUCUUGUUGCAUGGGAAUCUGGUUCUCUGUCUAGGCAGAUUAUGGUGGUUCAUGACUAUCAUGUCACAGUUAGGUUCUCAUCUACCACCACCACCAGCUCCUACUUACUGUCCACUGUUUAUGCACCCUGCUUGAACAGUGAAAUGACGAGGUUUUUCGAGGCUGUGAGCAAUGUGAAUGUGCAAGACAACCUUCAGUGGAUCGUUUUGGGUGACUUUAACAUGUACAAAUUUGUGCACGAGAAGUCACAGGGUCACAUCAACUGGAAUGUGAUGUAA
rnacentral:rRNA from 1 species